rnacentral:rRNA from 1 species
CCUACGGGAGGCAGCAGUGAGGAAUAUUGGUCAAUGGACGAGAGUCUGAACCAGCCAAGUAGCGUGAAGGAUGACUGCCCUAUGGGUUGUAAACUUCUUUUAUAUGGGAAUAAACUGUUUCACGUGUGGGAUUUUGUAUGUACCAUAUGAAUAAGGAUCGGCUAACUCCGUGCCAGCAGCCGCGGUAAUACGGAGGAUCCGAGCGUUAUCCGGAUUUAUUGGGUUUAAAGGGAGCGUAGAUGGGUUGUUAAGUCAGUUGUGAAAGGUUGCGGCUCAACCGUAAAAUUGCAAUUGAUACUGGCAGCCUUGAGUACAGUUGAGGUAGGCGGAAUUCGUGGUGUAGCGGUGAAAUGCUUAGAUAUCACGAAGAACUCCGAUUGCGAAGGCAGCUUACUAAACUGCUACUGACAUUGAGGCUCGAAAGUGUGGGUAUCAAACAGGAUUAGAUACCCGUGUAGUC